AAUCAACGCUGGCGGCGUGCCUCAGACAUGCAAGUCGAACGAGAAGUCCCCUUCGGGGGAUGGACAGUGGCGCACGGGUGAGUAACACGUGGGUAAUUUACCUUCGGGUGGGGAACGAACAGCCGGAAACGGCUGCUAAUACCGCAUAAUGCAGCGGCUCGACAUCGAGACAGUUGUUAAAGCGGGGGAUCCAAAAGACCUCGCGCCUGAAGAGAAGCCCGCGGCAGAUUAGCAGUUGGUAGGGUAAUGGCCUACCAAGGCGACGAUCUGUAACCGGCCUGAGAGGGGCGGUCGGGUCACACUGACACUGACAUACGGGUCAGACUCCUACGGGGAGGCAGCAGUCGGGAAUUUUGGGCAAUGGGCGCAAGCCUGACCCAGCAACGCCGCGUGAGGGAUGAAGUUUUUCGGAAUGUAAA
rnacentral:rRNA from 1 species